GGAUGUGAGGACCAUCUAUCACCUCAUUGAUCACCAGGCUGAUUCGGCAGAUCAGGCUGGCUGGGCGGGCGUCCCCUUCCUCCCUCACCACUCCAUGUACAUCCGACCUUCCCCCCAAUAGAGGAGGAGGGUCUUCAGUCAAGGGUACACCAGUAGCUGUGCUCCCCUGCUAGAACCUCCAAACAAGCUCUCAAGAAACCCCUGGAAAUCGUGUGCCAGGCUUACUAUUAGGCAGUCAUAACAGUACGGUAGCAUGUCCCUGUGUUUGC
rnacentral:snRNA from 1 species